rnacentral:rRNA from 1 species
UGACAGGUGGUGCAUGGUUGUCGUCAGCUCGUGUCGUGAGAUGUUGGUUAAGUCCCGCAACGACGCGCAACCCCUAUUGUUAGUUGCCAUCGAUUCAGUUGGGCACUCUAGCGAGACUGCCGGUAAUAAACCGGAGGAAGUGGGAUGACGUCAAAUCAUCAUGCCCCUUAUGGACCUGGGCUACACACGUGCUACAAUGGUUGGUACAACGAGUUGCGAGUCGGUGACGGCGAGCUAAUCUCUUAAAGCCAAUCUCAGUUCGGAUUGUAGGCUGCAACUCGCCUACAUGAAGUCGGAAUCGCUAGUAAUCGCGGAUCAGCACGCCGCGGUGAAUACGUUCCCGGGCCUU